CAGUCGAACGGGAAGAGAUGAAGAGCUUGCUCUUUAUCAAAUCCAGUGGCAAACGGGUGAGUAACACGUAAACAACCUGCCUUCAGGAUGGGGACAACAGACGGAAACGACUGCUAAUACCGAAUACGUUCCGCGGGCCGCAUGACCUGUGGAAGAAAGGGUAGCCUCUACCUGUAAGCUAUCGCCUGAAGAGGGGUUUGCGUCUGAUUAGGCAGUUGGUGGGGUAACGGCCCACCAAACCAACGAUCAGUAGCCGGUCUGAGAGGAUGAACGGCCACACUGGAACUGAGACACGGUCCAGACUCCUACGGGAGGCAGCAGUGGGGAAUCUUCCGCAAUGGACGAAAGUCUGACGGAGCAACGCCGCGUGAGUGAAGACGGCCUUCGGGUUGUAAAGCUCUGUGAUCCGGGACGAAAGAGCCUAAGGUAAAUAGCCUAAGGAAGUGACGGUACCGGAAAAGCAAGCCACGGCUAACUACGUGCCAGCAGCCGCGGUAAUACGUAGGUGGCAAGCGUUGUCCGGAAUUAUUGGGCGUAAAGCGCGCGCAGGCGGCUUCCUAAGUCCAUCUUAAAAGUGCGGGGCUUAACCCCGUGAUGGGAUGGAAACUGGGAAGCUGGAGUAUCGGAGAGGAAAGUGGAAUUCCUAGUGUAGCGGUGAAAUGCGUAGAGAUUAGGAAGAACACCGGUGGCGAAGGCGACUUUCUGGACGAAAACUGACGCUGAGGCGCGAAAGCGUGGGGAGCAAACAGGAUUAGAUACCCUGGUAGUCCACGCCGUANACGAUGGAUACUAGGUGUAGGAGGUNUCGACCCCUUCUGUGCC
rnacentral:rRNA from 1 species